AGGCCGGGUGCAGUGGCUCAUGCCUGUAGUCCCAGCACUUUGGGAGGCCGAGGUGGGCAGAUCACGAGGUCAGGAGAUCGAGACCAUCCUGGCUAACACGGUGAAACCCUGUCUCCACUAAAAAUGCAAAAAAUUAGCCGGGCGUGGUGGCGGGCGCCUGUACUCCCAGCUACUCAGGAGGCUGAGGCAAGAGAAUGGCGUGAACCCAGGAGGCAGAGCUUGCAGUUAGCCAAGAUCGCGCCACUGCACUCCAGCCUGGGCGACAAAGCAAGACUCUGUCUCAAAAACUAACUAACUCACUCACUAACUAAAUAAAUAAUUAAAUAAAUGCAAAUUGGAAAUUCCCCCUACAGUUGAGGAUGGCUAUACUCUAUGUGCCAGACAUCUUCUGGAUAGCCCUCGAAUCGAUCCCUUCACCCCUUUCCACGUUGCCCUGGCCUCAGGAGGCUGACUUGGACAGGCUACCAUGCCUUGGGCUUGGGUUCCUAGUGGGCACCCUGGCGGGAGAUCAGAAGGAAGGAAAGGCUGGGCGCAUUGCGGCUAAAAGGAAUGAACUGAAAGAUAGCACUCAUCGGGAUGACUAUUAUCAGAAAAGAAAAGAACAAAACAGCAUAAGUGUUGGUGAGGAAGUGGAGAAAUUGGAACCCUUGUACACUGCUGGCAGGAAUGUAAAAUGAUGCAGCUGCUAUGGAAAACAGUAUGGGAGUUCCUUAUAGAAUCAAAAGUAGAAUUACCAUAUGAGACAGCAAUUAUCCCACUUCUGGGUAUAUACCCAAAAGAACUGAAAGCAGGCCGGGUGCGGUGGCUCACGCCUGUAAUCCCAGCACUUUGGGAGGCUGAGGUGGGAGGAUCACUUGAGCCCAGGAGUUUGAGACCAGCCUGUGUAACAUGGCAAAACCCCAUCUCUACUAAAAUACAAAAAUUAGCCGGGCAUGAUGGCGGGCACCUGUAGUCCCAGCUACUCGGGAGGCUGAGGCAGGGGAAUCGCUUGAACCCCAGAAGCAGAGGUUGCAGUGAGCUGAGAUCGCGUCACUGUACUCCAUCCUGGUGACAGAGCAAGACUCCAUCUAAACACAAACAAAAAAAAGAAUUGAAAGCAGGGUUGGGAAGAAAAGAAAUACAUCCACGUUCACCACAGCAUUAAUCAUGAUAGCUGCAUGGUGGAAGCAGUUCCGUAUCCGUCAACAGAUGAAUGGAUAAGCAAACUGUGGUCCAUCCAUACGAUGGAAUAUUCAUCGUUCAUAAGGAAGGAAAUUCUCUAUGGGCACGGUGGCUCAUACCUGUAAACCCAACACUUUGGGAAGUUGAGGUAGGAGGAUCACUUGAAGCCAGGAACUCAAGAUCAGCCUGGCCAAUACAGCAAGACUCCAA
rnacentral:lncRNA from 10 species